ACGCUCGACACCUACGGGAUGCAGCAGUGGGGAAUAUUGCACAAUGGGGGAAACCCUGAUGCAGCGACGCCGCGUGGAGGAAGAAGGUCUUCGGAUUUGUAAACUCCUGUUGUUGGGGAAAAAGAGGAUGGUACCCAACAAGGAAGUGACGGCUAACUACGUGCCAGCAGCCGCGGUAAUCUGAGCGGGCUGGCAAGGC
rnacentral:rRNA from 1 species